rnacentral:rRNA from 1 species
UCAGAGGUGAAAUCCUGCAGCUCAACUGUAGAACUGCCUUUGAUACUGGUAGACUUGAGUUAUUGUGAAGUGGUUAGAAUGUGUGGUGUAGCGGUGAAAUGCAUAGAUAUCACACAGAAUACCGAUUGCGAAGGCAGAUCACUAACAAUAUACUGACGCUCAUGGACGAAAGCGUGGGGAGCGAACAGGAUUAGAUACCCUGGUAGUCCACGCCGUAAACGAUGGAUACUAGCUGUUCGGCUAACAUUGGUUAGAUGAGUGGCUAAGCGAAAGUUAUACCUCUCCCACCGGGCGAGCACGGGCGCGAGACUGAAACGAAUAGAAAGUGACGG